GCUUAACACAUGCAAGUCGAGCGCCCGCAAGGGGAGACGGCAGACGGGAGAGUAACACGUGGGAACGUACUUUCAGUUCGGAAUAACCCGGGGAAACUCGGUAAUACCGGAUACGCCCGUAAGGGGAAAGAUUUAUCGCUGAAAGAUCGGCCCGCGUCUGAUUAGCUUGUUGGUGAGGUAAUGGCUCACCAAGGCGACGAUCAGUAGCUGGUCUGAGAGGAUGAUUAGCCUCACUGGGACUGAGACACGGCCCAGACUCCUACGGGAGGCAGCAGUGGGGAAUAUUGGACAAUGGGCGAAAGCCUGAUCCAGCCAUGCCGCGUGAGUGAUGAAGGCCUUAGGGUUGUAAAGCUCUUUCGUCAGGGAAGAUAAUGACGGUACCUGAAGAAGAAGCCCCGGCUAACUUCGUGCCAGCAGCCGCGGUAAUACGAAGGGGGCUAGCGUUGCUCGGAAUCACUGGGCGUAAAGCGCACGUAGGCGGCUUUCUAAGUCAGGGGUGAAUCCUGGAGCUCAACUCCAGAACUGCCUUUGAUACUGGAGAGCUUGAGUUCGGGAGAGGUGAGUGGAACUGCGAGUGU
rnacentral:rRNA from 1 species